rnacentral:rRNA from 1 species
CAACCUGCCCAUCACUUGGGGAUAACCUUGCGAAAGUAAGACUAAUACCCAAUGACGUCUCUAGAAGACAUCUGAAAGAGAUUAAAGAUUUAUCGGUGAUGGAUGGGGAUGCGUCUGAUUAGCUUGUUGGCGGGGUGACGGCCCACCAAGGCGACGAUCAGUAGGGGUUCUGAGAGGAAGGUCCCCCACAUUGGAACUGAGACACGGUCCAAACUCCUACGGGAGGCAGCAGUGAGGAAUAUUGGUCAAUGGACGAGAGUCUGAACCAGCCAAGUAGCGUGCAGGAUGACGGCCCUAUGGGUUGUAAACUGCUUUUAUAAGGGAAUAAAGUGAGUCUCGUGAGACUUUUUGUAUGUACCUUAUGAAUAAGGACCGGCUAAUUCCGUGCCAGCAGCCGCGGUAAUACGGAAGGUCCGGGCGUUAUCCGGAUUUAUUGGGUUUAAAGGGAGCGUAGGCCGGGGAUUAAGCGUGUUGUGAAAUGUAGACGCUCAACGUCUGCACUGCAGCGCGAACUGGUUUCCUUGAGUACGCACAAAGUGGGCGGAAUUCGUGGUGUAGCGGUGAAAUGCUUAGAUAUCACGAAGAACUCCGAUUG